AUGUGUGGAGUUUUGUUUCUGGUCUCCAACUGGGCAAUCUCAAAGAAUGGGAUUGUCCCAGAGGAGAAACCCCCGAGAACAUUACCGUCGGCUGCCCAUUUAAGCAGCCGGUGUGUGGUGGGAAGGGGUGGGAAGGGGAAGGCUGGAGUCCACCAGGCCAGGAGCUGCUGCUGGAGGAGGAAAGGCUGCCGCAACCUCUGCCCACCCUUGCAGACCGCAUGCCCUGCUGCGCCUGCUGCUAACCAAGAGGAACAGCGGCUUCUUAAAUCCUUGCCUACGAUGGUCCAGCAAGCCCAGACGUCCUGUCGCCUUCUCACCUCCUCUGCUGAGAGCUACAGAUCUUCCGAUGACAGACAAGGAGGGGAUGUGCGAAUGGUGUGGCAACCUGAUGCAGUAAGAUUUAUUAGCAAUCCAAUCGAAACAGGAAGAGCUGUGUACAGACAGGAGAAUCAGCUUGCUCAAGGUUACCCACCUGACUUUGGAUAUCACCAGAUUUGUUGA
rnacentral:lncRNA from 1 species